GGGCGCGAGAUAACUCUCUCUAAGGAACUCGGCAAAAUGGCCCCGUAACUUCGGGAGAAGGGGUGCCACCGAGAGGUGGUCGCAGUGAAGAGUCCCAGGCGACUGUUUACCAAAAACACAGGUCUCCGCUAAGUCGCAAGACGAUGUAUGGGGGCUGACGCCUGCCCAGUGCCGGAAGGUUAGGAAGUUGGUCAGGGAGCAAUCCUGAAGCUAGCGACUGAAGCCCCGGUGAACGGCGGCCGUAACUAUAACGGUCCUAAGGUAGCGAAAUUCCUUGUCGGGUAAGUUCCGACCCGCACGAAAGGCGUAACGAUCUGGGAGCUGUCUCGGAGAGAGGCUCGGCGAAAUAGGAAUGUCUGUGAAGAUACGGACUACCUGCACCCGGACAGAAAGACCCUAUGAAGCUUUACUGUAGCUUGGUAUUGGGUUCGGGCUUUGAUUGCGCAGGAUAGGUGGGAGACUAUGAGAUAGCUCUUGUGGGAGUUAUGGAGUCACUGGUGAGAUACCACUCUAUCAAGGCUAGAAUUCUAACUUUGACCCGUUAUCCGGGCAGAGAACAGUAUCAGGUGGGCAGUUUGACUGGGGCGGUCGCCUCCUAAAUGGUAACGGAGGCGCGCAAAGGUUCCCUCAGGCUGGUUGGAAAUCAGCCAUUGAGUGUAAAGGCAUAAGGGAGCUUGACUGCGAGACUGACAAGUCGAGCAGGUACGAAAGUAGGCCUUAGUGAUCCGACGGUUCCGCGUGGAAGGGCCGUCGCUCAACGGAUAAAAGUUACUCUAGGAUAACAGGCUGAUCUCCCUCAAGAGUUCACAUCGGCGGGGAGGUUUGGCACCUCGAUGUCGGCUCAUCGCAACCUGGGGCUGUAGUCGGUCCCAAGGGUUGGGCUGUUCGCCCAUUAAAGCGGUACGUGAGCUGGGUUCAGAACGUCGUGAGACAGUUCGGUCCAUAUCCGGUGCAGGCGUAGGAACAUUGAGAGGAGUCUUCCUUAGUACGAGAGGACCGGGAAGAACGCACCGCUGGUGUACCUGUUAUCGUGCCAACGGUAAACGCAGGGUAGCCAAGUGCGGAGAGGAUAACCGCUGAAAGCAUCUAAGUGGGAAGCCCACCUCAAGAUGAGUGUUCCCAUGGCAAAAGCCAGUAAGGUCACGGGUAGACCACCCGUUAAUAGGCGCUAGAUGGAAGUCCAGCAAUGGAUGUAGUCGAGGCGUACUAACAGACCGAGGGCUUGAC
rnacentral:rRNA from 1 species